UUCCGGCAGGUGAUGUCACGCAAUCCCAGCAUGCACCAGUCAAUAUCAAAACACUGCCAUCGGAGCUGAGCCAGAGUUAGCUAGCUACGUUACUAGCUAGCUAGUUGCACCUAUUGUAGAUAGCUAGCUAGAUAAAUAGAUCAUUUUUAUUGAUCCCAAGGGGAAAUAAUUUGCUGCCUAUUUAAUAAACGCCUUGAUUCAGCAUGGUGGAUAGCUGCUGUGCGCCAGGAUGCCAGAACCAUCGGAAAAAAAGAUAAUGGAUAGCAUUUUAUGAGAUGCCUAGCUAAAGCUCCCGAGAGAAGAAGUAAAUGGAUUGCUUCCAUAAAACCUGCUAGAAGCAGACGGAACCAAACCGAGCCAUGGGAGCCCACAAACUGGAUUUCGGUUAUGCUGUGACCACUUUAUAUCAGGGAAAAAGAGUGACAACCCUCUGUCACCCGACUACAAUCCUUCAAUCUUCAAUCAUGUUCCAUCCCCGGAGAAGAGAAAAAGAAGAAUGAGUUAGAUGUAGUCAACAGAAGAACAAACUUCAAAGAAUAGAGAAAGCAGCAAAGCCAUCAGCUGCAGCAGUAAUCUAACAGAUUGUCCUCAAGACAACAGCAAGCAUCCUACUGCAGACCAGGUGAAGGAAUCUAACAAACAAAGAACUUGAAAAUGAAAAUAUUCUGCCUUUUCCCCAUGAAAAUGAUGAUCCAGCAACUUCACCAUUAGAGAGUAAAGUUUUUUUUUUUAAGAAACACAUUCAUUCUCUUGAGUUGGAAUGCCAAGCUCUGAUAAAUGAAUAUGUUGUUAAAAGAGAAAAUGAAUACAACUGCACUGAAUGAGAAUGGAAUACAUCAAAAACUCUGCUGCCCGUCUCCUCACCCACACCCAUUCCCGUGAUCACAUCACUCCCGUCCUUCAGAGCCUCCACUGGCUCCCUGUUUCCCAACGCAUCCAGUUUAGUCCUCCUCACCCACAAAGCCCUCCAUAACCAGGCUCCUUCCUCACAGACCUGCUCCACGACCACACUCCCCCCCGUAACCUCUGCUCCUCUGACACUAACCUCCUCUCCCCACCACUCAGGACCACGCACCUUACCUGGUGGGACAGAGCUUUCACCAUUGCAGCCACCUCCCUCUGGAACUCCAUACCCAUACACAUCCGUGUCUGUACUGACCUGGACACAUUCAAAACACACCUCUUCAGAUUAGCUUUCCACAUACAAUAGUCUUACAUUUCUCACCUGAUAAUUACUGGUUUUAUUGUUUAAUUGCUUUUAAGAUGCUUGUUUUAUUGCUUAUCUUUUUUAAUGUGCUAUAUGUGCUGGUUUUACUGUAUGCUAUAUAAAUAACAUUUAUUAUUAUUAUUAUUAUUAGAUGAGUCUACAAAAUAAUGAUAAAAAGGUCAAUAUCCUCACUGGUUUACAAACAUAUUCACCACUAAUGACAGUGUUCAUUUUGUAGCUCUCUAUCUCAAAUGUAAGUGCACCCUAACAUUAUUUCAGCAGUACAUGCUGGCUUUAAUUAAGAUGAGAAUUCAUUUGUCUUUUGAUGUUUUGGCUUAUUAUUUUGACGUUGAUUUGACCGCUGUUUCAAAGCUUUUCAAACACUGUGUUGACGUAAUGUAUUGCAGAUUGGUGCCGAAGUGCAACUUGCUGUGUAUGCGUAUAGCCUAAUACUGUGGACUGUUGGUGCAGUGUUGGUGAAUAUAAGAUGCCUAAACCACGGAAGAUUAAUUGUUCUAGGGCGAUAAUGACUAUUAGGCAAUAAUGACAACAAAUAAGUAUUACAGUAGUUUAUAUUUAUUUAAUAACCUUUUUUUAAUCAUAUCACCCCUUGAUUUAUUUUCUUCUGCUGUUACGGUUCCCUGUCAUGUCACCAAAUGUACAAUGUUUAGUCUUGUCCCGCUUGUCUUGUCUAUUUUUACUAAAUAAAGAUUGUGGGCCAACUCCUUUUCUAA